GAUGAACGCUGGCGGCGUGCCUAAUACAUGCAAGUCGAGCGAACAGACGAGGAGCUUGCUCCUCUGACGUUAGCGGCGGACGGGUGAGUAACACGUGGAUAACCUACCUAUAAGACUGGGAUAACUUCGGGAAACCGGAGCUAAUACCGGAUAAUAUAUUGAACCGCAUGGUUCAAUAGUGAAAGACGGUUUUGCUGUCACUUAUAGAUGGAUCCGCGCCGCAUUAGCUAGUUGGUAAGGUAACGGCUUACCAAGGCAACGAUGCGUAGCCGACCUGAGAGGGUGAUCGGCCACACUGGAACUGAGACACGGUCCAGACUCCUACGGGAGGCAGCAGUAGGGAAUCUUCCGCAAUGGGCGAAAGCCUGACGGGGCAACGCCGCGUGAGUGAUGAAGGUCUUCGGAUCGUAAAACUCUGUUAUUAGGGAAGAACAAAUGUGUAAGUAACUAUGCACGUCUGGACGGUACCUAAUCAGAAAACCACGGCUAACUACGU
rnacentral:rRNA from 1 species